AGUGAACGCUGGCGGCGUGCUUAACACAUGCAAGUCGAACGAGAAUGGAUAUAGCUUGCUAUAAUUGUCAGCUAAGUGGCGCACGGGUGAGUAAUGUAUAGGUAAUAUGCCUCUUACUAAGGGAUAACAAAUGGAAACGUUCGCUAAUACCUUAUACUCCUUAUUAACAGAAGUUAAUAAGGGAAAGAUUUAUUGGUAAGAGAUUAGCCUGUAUUGUAUCAGUUAGUUGGUGGGGUAAUGGCUUACCAAGACUAUGACACAUAACUGGUUUGAGAGGAUGAUCAGUCACACUGGAACUGAGACACGGUCCAGACUCCUACGGGAGGCAGCAGUGGGGAAUAUUGCACAAUGGACGAAAGUCUGAUGCAGCAACGCCGCGUGGAGGAUGACACAUUUCGGUGCGUAAACUCCUUUUAUAUGAGAAGAUAAUGACGGUAUUAUAUGAAUAAGCACCGGCUAACUCCGUGCCAGCCGCCGCGGUAA
rnacentral:rRNA from 1 species